rnacentral:rRNA from 1 species
UACGAAGGGUGCAAGCGUUACUCGGAAUUACUGGGCGUAAAGGGCUCGUAGGCGGCCAACUAAGUCAGACGUGAAAUCCCCAGGCUCAACCUGGGAACUGCGUCUGAUACUGGAUGGCUUGAAUCCGGGAGAGGGAUGCAGAAUUCCAGGUGUAGCGGUGAAAUGCGUAGAUAUCUGGAGGAAUACCGGUGGCGAAGGCGGCAUCCUGGACCGGCAUUGACGCUGAGGAGCGAAAGCUAGGGGAGCAAACGGG